CGUAAAUCAGAUUUGCUGCAAUCUAUCUGCAGAGGUGACCUGUUUUUUCAAAGCUAACACGAUGUUUGUGGGAGAGAUGGCCUGUUUGAACAAAUGUUUGUGGGUCAAAGUGUGGGACUUGAACUCUGGACCAUCUGCAUCUAAAACCACCCACAGCUACUUCCUGAGCUGAAAGAGCAAGUUACAGAAUUUAUAGGCAGUAGCAAAGUCAACAACCUGGUAUGGGUGCAGACACCAGAGAGGGACAAAGACCCACACACUGCCAGCAUGGGUUACACAAUACCGUCGGCCAUGGAAGCUUGCCGUGAACUUCUUUUACGGAAAAUGAAUGUCAAAUUUAUUUAAUCACAAAAAUAAAUUGUAGUGAAAGCAAAUGUAGUUUAUAAACAUUAGGCCAUCUAAUCAGGGACUAUAAACAAUACCACAUGCCUUAAGUGACCAAUCGUCAUGGCUGCUUGAAUGUGAAGCCACAGAUAUUUGUUAAAAAUCUCUGUCUAGGAACAACUUGCAAGCUGGAAAAACAGUGAUUAGCCAAAUAAAUUGUUUGUUGAGAACUGUUCACCCUACUCCAUCUUUUAUUAUUUUAUUGCUAUAUUUUGUUUUCAUUGUUAUUGUUAUUCAUUAUGUAACCCCUUUGGGGUUUAGAGAGCAUGGCCCCUUUAAAUCUUUUUCUUAUGGGGGGAAGGGGAGUAGUAAGAGAAAGGAAGAAAACUCCAAGGUGUGGCUCUGGAGCCAGAGAGAGAGGGAGAAGGGCUGCAGCCCACAGGCCCUCACAAAGCGAAGCAGCAGAGAACCUACCUAAAGCCUGGGAAGUACAGGGUGGCCGAUCGGGGACAACCCAGGACAGUAGCCAGAAGAAGCACUGUGCCAGGAAGAAAUUGCCUGAGAAGGACAGACCGGACCCAGUAUCACUGCUGUCCAGAGCUGUGAGUACUGGGGCUUGUGACUCUGCACUGGGAAUAAGGAGGGAGGCUGUAGCUAGUUAAGUGGGGAGGUGGUCGCUCUGUGUGGCUUUGCAGAGAGCGGCAGAAGAGGGCACUGGAGGGGUUUGUUGGGGAAAGUUUACUGGCGCCAAAAACGACCAGGAGCACCCAAGACUCCGCACCGGACUGGAACUUUUCUCAGGACUCCUGAACUCUGUGUGCAGACACAUUGCUCAGUGUCUGCCCUUUCAAACUAUGCUAUUGUGGGGCCUUGGUUUGGAUGCAACCCUGUUUUACCGCUCCCCCUAUAUUUCCCCUUGUCGUUUUUCUCCUCUCAUCCCUCUGUAAAUAAAUAUUUCCCUAUGUUA